rfam:Sus scrofa breed Duroc isolate TJ Tabasco Contig1914_1, whole genome shotgun sequence.
AAUUUAGCAUAAGUAUAUCCCAUGCAAUAUUUGGGACAUACUUAUACUAAAC